rnacentral:rRNA from 1 species
GAUGAACUCUGGCGGCGUGCUUAACACAUGCAAGUCGAGCGAAGCACUUAACUUUGAUUCUUUCGGGAUGAAGAGUUCUGCGACUGAGCGGCGGACGGGUGAGUAACGCGUGGGUAACCUGCCUCAUACAGGGGGAUAACAGUUAGAAAUGGCUGCUAAUACCGCAUAAGACCACAGCACCGCAUGGUGCAGGGGUAAAAACUCCGGUGGUAUGAGAUGGACCCGCGUCUGAUUAGCUAGUUGGUGGGGUAACGGCCUACCAAGGCGACGAUCAGUAGCCGACCUGAGAGGGUGACCGGCCACAUUGGGACUGAGACACGGCCCAAACUCCUACGGGAGGCAGCAGUGGGGAAUAUUGCACAAUGGGGGAAACCCUGAUGCAGCGACGCCGCGUGAGCGAAGAAGUAUUUCGGUAUGUAAAGCUCUAUCAGCAGGGAAGAAAAUGACGGUACCUGACUAAGAAGCCCCGGCUAACUACGUGCCAGCAGCCGCGGUAAUACGUAGGGGGCAAGCGUUAUCCGGAUUUACUGGGUGUAAAGGGAGCGUAGACGGCGAGGCAAGUCUGAUGUGAAAACCCGGGGCUCAACCCCGUGACUGCAUUGGAAACUGUUUUGCUUGAGUGCCGGAGAGGUAAGCGGAAUUCCUAGUGUAGCGGUGAAAUGCGUAGAUAUUAGGAGGAACACCAGUGGCGAAGGCGGCUUACUGGACGGCAACUGACGUUGAGGCUCGAAAGCGUGGGGAGCAAACAGGAUUAGAUACCCUGGUAGUCCACGCCGUAAAC